rnacentral:SRP_RNA from 1 species
GUUAGAGUCUUAAUCGGCAUAAAUACUAUGAACCGUGUCAGAUCUGGAAGGAAGCAGCACUAAGUAGUCUUUUUAUGGGUGUGUUAAGGUGCUCUUUCUC